UGGGGAAUUUUGGACAAUGGGCGAAAGCCUGAUCCAGCAAUGCCGCGUGUGUGAAGAAGGCCUUCGGGUUGUAAAGCACUUUUGUCCGGAAAGAAAUCCUUGGCUCUAAUACAGUCGGGGGAUGACGGUACCGGAAGAAUAAGCACCGGCUAACUACGUGCCAGCAGCCGCGGUAAUACGUAGGGUGCAAGCGUUAAUCGGAAUUACUGGGCGUAAAGCGUGCGCAGGCGGUUUGCUAAGACCAAUGUGAAAUCCCCGGGCUCAACCUGGGAACUGCAUUGGUGACUGGCAGGCUAGAGUAUGGCAGAGGGGGGUAGAAUUCCACGUGUAGCAGUGAAAUGCGUAGAGAUGUGGAGGAAUACCGAUGGCGAAGGCAGCCCCCUGGGCCAAUACUGACGCUCAUGCACGAAAGCGUGGGGAGCAAACAGGAUUAGAUACCCUGGUAGUCCACGCCCUAAACGAUGUCAACUAGUUGUUGGGGAUUCAUUCCUUAGUAACGUAGCUAACGCGUGAAGUUGACCGCCUGGGGAGUACGGUCGCAAGAUUAAAACUUAAAGGAAUUGACGGGGUCAUAGCUGUUUCCU
rnacentral:rRNA from 1 species